CGUCACAAUCGGAGGAAAGACGGAGGCGUAUCACGACUUAGCGGAAGACUUCAAAAGGGCAGGAACAGGUAUCCAGGGUCUUGGAAUACAAGGUCAUACUAAAGACUUCAUCAAGCCUGACCCUACCAUGAUCUGGAGACGACUUGACAGACUGGCACAAACCGGUUUGGAACUCUUCAUGACGGAGUUCGACCUCGGGCUGGCA